rnacentral:tRNA from 1 species
UCCCUAGUGGUUCAGUGGUUAAGACUCUGCGCUUCCAAUGCAGAUGGUACAGGUUCGAUCCCUAGUCAGGGAA